GGCGAACCGAGCGAACGUUGUUCGGAAUCACUGGGCUUAAAGGGCGCGUAGGCGGGUGCUCAAGUCCGGGGUGAAAUCCUCCAGCUCAACUGGAGAACUGCCUCGGAUACUGGGUGUCUCGAGGGUGGUAGGGGUAUGCGGAACUAUCGGUGGAGCGGUGAAAUGCGUUGAUAUCGAUAGGAACUCCGGUGGCGAAGGCGGCAUACUGGACCACCUCUGACGCUGAGGCGCGAAAGCCAGGGGAGCAAACGGG
rnacentral:rRNA from 1 species